ensembl:lncRNA
GGUUGGGCCCGCGUUUGAACACUGGAGCCGGAGACACCCCCACCACCCCGUCCCGGGAUAUAUUUCAGCUCAAAAGAGCUCCCUGCUUGAAGAAUGAAAAAAGACCCAUCCUUCUGCACAAGGAGUGUCCCAGCUCCUGGAGCACUGCUCCAGGUUUGUGCGCUGUUUGUGUCGUAGUGGGAAGGAGAGACUUUAGAGGACACUCCAUGAUGAACAAACGACAAGCAUAUGGCUGAGUCCUGAAUGAUGUCAUCUUAACUCUGAGAAGUGGGCCAUAGCUAUAGAGAAAAUUUUAAAUGAUCUAUUCUUAUGUAUGAACAAUGCCCUUUUCUGUCUCCAGUAUCUCAAAACCAGUCCUGAGGAGUUCAGUUACUGCCCAAGAUGAAUACAGGUAAUUUUCCAAAGAGGGCUUGGAUCAUUUCAUCCCAGGAGUGUAAAACACUUUAUCAUAAGGGUCAGGAGAGCACUGUUGCCAUUGCUUUGCUCCUUCCACCUUGUUCUUGAAAUGAUUAUUUGGAGAAAGUGGCCCAAUAGCACAGUUGAUUCUUGUAAUGGUGUGCUCUUCUGUCAUCCGCAUCACUGUCAGAUGAUUUGAAUCAAUAAACUGAUGCUCCGUGAAGUAUGACGGUUAUAGCAUGUUAGAGUUCUGAUGGCAGUUGUUGAUGAAGAAAUGCUUUUUUGUCCUUAACACUUCAAAGUAAUCUUUUAUUUCCCCUUUCCCAGGUUGUCAUGAUACUUUUCUCUAAAGGUAAGAUGUUUACUUUGGUUUUUGUUAUAAAUAUAAAUUAUCCAUGGAACAACAAAUCCUUGAUCCAGGCACAGCUUUUCUGCUUUUUCCUGUUACCUGUAGUGAUGUUUAUUGCUCGCCCCUUAUUUCUUGGAUGCCAGCUGGUCCCAAGACUCCCAACUCUUGGAAAGAGUUGAAAGUGUUGAGUACUUGCCAACUGUAGCCUGCUGGACUUCAGUGGCAGUGAGGAGCAAGUAUCCUCCUGUCUGGUCCCAGAGCCAGUUAUGAUGCACCCACUGGGGUUACAGAGAAAGAAGAUGAAAAUGUUCUGUAAAAAGCUGUCUAGUGUAGCAAAUGUGUCUACACCUAUCAUGUUUAGCUUUAACUCAUCCAGUAACAAUGGCUAGUGUGCUGCUUUGCUAUUUGAGAUGCUUUGCUAAUAAAUAAUUCUCUGAUUCAGGAGCGGGUUGUUCCUGUAUUCCACUGGAAAUCUUCCAACAUUGAGGCACUAUUACUCCCAGCAAACUACUUGGUUUAAAGAUCCAGCAUCUUAUUUGGAGGUCAGGAAUGAUUUCAGGUCUCAGGAAAAGACAUGGUAAAUGGAAGUGGUAGGUAUCUGUUCAAAUGUUUGUGUCUAGUAUUCUAAUACAUAACUGACAGAUUCAGUGCUGCCUAAAAGCAACACAUUUUGUUGGCUGAUCUGAGGCGUGGCCCUUGUAAGUAAUUGCGGACAUUAGUGCCUUUCCAGUAAAGGACUUUUCCUCUGAUAGGAAUCCCAGCCUCAAGAAUGACAAGGUCUAGCUUUUGAACUCAGCAUGCAGUCACUUCCAUCCCAGUAAUAAAAGCUGUUUUCUCA